ensembl:lncRNA
UGAGAAGGGAAACGUCUCCUCACAGCAACACAGAAAAUCACAGACAUGGACAAACUGGCCGGGAUUGUCGGGAAAAAAGUGGGAGAUGCGGUGGAGGGUGCGGUGAAGGGCGCUCUGCAUUUAGGGAACAAAGACAAAGACAAGAAUAAGAAGAAAGGUGAAGAAAAACCACAAAGUGCUUCUGCCAACGAUGGGGAUUUGCUGGAUGAUCUUUUCGAAUUGGCUGAAGAAACAUCUCAAGGAAACUAAAACAGGAAGCUGUAAAGCACAUCCCGACCCCCGAGGAAUCAACUCCCACUCCUGAAUAAAGACUAAAAAAAAAAUCCACUUUUUUGUCCGUCUUUCAGAAACGCACAGCUUCAGGCAGAUAACUCGUAAGCUGGAAAGGAAAUGGCGUGCCACAAACCAUUAGAGGAAAAAUGACCAAUAAUCAUCCCACAGAUGUAAUAUUAUCUACAGCUACUUUCAGUACAUUGAUGUUAAGUUAGACUCUUUUUCUCCAAUUGAUCUUUCUGAGUUAACUUCAAUAAUUACUUCCUCCAAACCAUCAACGUGUCUUUUAGACCCCAUUCCUACAAAACUGCUCAAAGAAGUCCUGCCAUUAAUUAAUGCUUCGAUCUUAAAUAUGAUCAACCUAUCUCUAAUAAUCAGCAUUUAAUCAUUUGUUAUUAUUAGAGCUGUCAGCAUUAACAUGGAUCAAUCCAACCAAUCACAGCAGAUGGCCCCGCCCCUCCCUGAGCCUGGUUCUGCCGGAGGUUUCUUCCUGUUAAAAGGGAGUUUUUCCUUCCCACUGUUGCCAGAGUGCUGCUCAUAGGGGGUCAUAUGAUUGUUGGGUAAUAAAAACUAAAAUGCUUGAACAUGG